rnacentral:rRNA from 1 species
AACUUGCCGAAAGGUGAACUAAUACCGGAUGACAUCCCGGGUUCUCCGGAAACCGGGAUCAAAGAAGGCCUCUGCUUGCAAGCUUUUGCUGAAGGAUGAGUCCGCGUACCAUUAGCUAGUUGGUGGGGUAAUGGCCUACCAAGGUUAUGAUGGUUAGCUGGUCUGAGAGGAUGAUCAGCCACACUGGAACUGAAACACGGUCCAGACUCCUACGGGAGGCAGCAGUGAGGAAUAUUGCGCAAUGGGGGCAACCCUGACGCAGCAACGCCGCGUGAGUGAGGAAGGUUUUCGGAUUGUAAAGCUCUGUCGAGCGGAAAGAAAUGCACGAUGGCUAAUAUCCAUCAUGCUUGACGGUACCGCUAGAGGAAGCACCGGCUAACUCCGUGCCAGCAGCCGCGGUAAUACGGGGGGUGCAAGCGUUGUUCGGAAUCAUUGGGCGUAAAGAGCGUGUAGGCGGCUGGACAAGUCAGAUAUGAAAUCCCUGGGCUUAACCCAGGAAGCGCAUUUGAAACUGUCUAGCUGGAGUAAGGGAGAGGAAAGUGGAAUUCCUGGUGUAGAGGUGAAAUUCGUAGAUAUCAGGAGGAACACCGGUGGCGAAGGCGACUUUCUGGCCCUAUACUGACGCUGAGACGCGAAAGCGUGGGUAGCAAACAGGAUUAGAUACCCUGGUAGUCCACGCUGUAAACGAUG